rnacentral:rRNA from 1 species
UACAGAGGUCUCAAGCGUUGUUCGGAUUCAUUGGGCGUAAAGGGUGCGUAGGCGGCGCGGUAAGUCGGGUGUGGAAAUCUCGGAGCUUAACUCCGAAACUGCAUUCGAUACUGCCGUGCUUGAGGACUGGAGAGGAGACUGGAAUUUACGGUGUAGCGGUGAAAUGCGUAGAUAUCGUAAGGAAGACCAGUGGCGAAGGCGGGUCUCUGGACAGUUCCUGACGCUGAGGCACGAAGGUCAGGGGGAGCAAACGGG